UCCGGUUGAUCCUGCCAGAGGCCGCUGCUAUCCGGCUGGGACUAAGCCAUGCUAGUCUAGGGGCUUGUACUCCUUCGGGGGUGCAAGCACCGGCGGACGGCUCAGUAACACGUGGACAACCUGCCCUCGGGUGGGGGAUAACCCCGGGAAACUGGGGCUAAUCCCCCAUAGGUGAUGGGUGCUGGAAUGCCCCAUCUCCGAAAGCGCUUAGCGCCCGAGGAUGGGUCUGCGGCGGAUUAGGUAGUUGGUGGGGUAACGGCCCACCAAGCCUAAGAUCCGUACGGGCUGUGGGAGCAGGAGCCCGGAGAUGGACCCUGAGACAAGGGUCCAGGCCCUACGGGGCGCAGCAGGCGCGAAACCUCCGCAAUGCGGGAAACCGCGACGGGGUUAGCCGGAGUGCCCGUGCAUUGCACGGGCUGUCGGGGUGCCUAAACAGCACCCCAUAGCAAGGGCCGGGCAAGGCCGGUGGCAGCCGCCGCGGUAAGACCGGCGGCCCGAGUGGCGGCCACUCUUAUUGGGCCUAAAGCGUCCGUAGCCGGCCCAGUAAGUCCCCCGGGAAAUCUGGUCGCUUAACGAUCAGACUUCCGGGGGAUACUGCUGGGCUAGGGACCGGGAGAGGCCGAGGGUAUUCCCGGGGUAGGGGUGAAAUC
rnacentral:rRNA from 1 species